rnacentral:rRNA from 2 species
UGGAUCCAGACUUUGAUUCUGGCUCAGGAUGAACGCUAGCUACAGGCUUAACACAUGCAAGUCGAGGGGAAACGACAUUGAAAGCUUGCUUUCGAUGGGCGUCGACCGGCGCACGGGUGAGUAACGCGUAUCCAACCUGCCCAUCACUUGGGGAUAACCUUGCGAAAGUAAGACUAAUACCCAAUGACGUCUCUAGAAGACAUCUGAAAGAGAUUAAAGAUUUAUCGGUGAUGGAUGGGGAUGCGUCUGAUUAGCUUGUUGGCGGGGUAACGGCCCACCAAGGCGACGAUCAGUAGGGGUUCUGAGAGGAAGGUCCCCCACAUUGGAACUGAGACACGGUCCAAACUCCUACGGGAGGCAGCAGUGAGGAAUAUUGGUCAAUGGACGAGAGUCUGAACCAGCCAAGUAGCGUGCAGGAUGACGGCCCUAUGGGUUGUAAACUGCUUUUAUAAGGGAAUAAAGUGAGUCUCGUGAGACUUUUUGCAUGUACCUUAUGAAUAAGGACCGGCUAAUUCCGUGCCAGCAGCCGCGGUAAUACGGAAGGUCCGGGCGUUAUCCGGAUUUAUUGGGUUUAAAGGGAGCGUAGGCCGGAGAUUAAGCGUGUUGUGAAAUGUAGAUGCUCAACAUCUGCACUGCAGCGCGAACUGGUUUCCUUGAGUACGCACAAAGUGGGCGGAAUUCGUGGUGUAGCGGUGAAAUGCUUAGAUAUCACGAAGAACUCCGAUUGCGAAGGCAGCUCACUGGAGCGCAACUGACGCUGAAGCUCGAAAGUGCGGGUAUCGAACAGGAUUAGAUACCCUGGUAGUCCGCACGGUAAACGAUGGAUGCCCGCUGUUGGUCUGAAUAGGUCAGCGGCCAAGCGAAAGCAUUAAGCAUCCCACCUGGGGAGUACGCCGGCAACGGUGCAACUCAAAUGAAUUGACGGA